AUUUAGCCCUGAUUGAACGGCAUGUUUGAGCUCAUUUUAUUGUAUUAUGCGCGGCGGCUCCGCCGCCGCGCAUAAUACAAUAAAAUAGCGAGUAGAGAAAGCAGGUUCCCGG
rnacentral:misc_RNA from 1 species